rnacentral:rRNA from 1 species
AUGUGUGUCCCUGAUCUUUGUGUCCUGAAGAGUGCUGUGUUAGGUUAUAAAGGUUAUAACUUGGGGGCAAUAGUUGCAUGUAGGUUGCAGAAUAAUAGUAGAAAGGGAGAUUUAUUUGGAGGAAUUUAUGCAACCCGUGUGGCUAAUUAUCUCGGUAUAGCCCCACGAGAGGGAGAUGUGAUGAUACCUCCUAUUUAUUUGGAUUAUGAAGCUAGGGUCAAUCAUCAAUUUCUAAGGAGGAAUGAACAAUUCCUCCAUUAUCGACUAAUCUAUAAUAGACGCAACGUCGUCCAUGUUACUCUUCCUACUCCUCUCCUUUUUUAUUAUCAGGCAAAAGGAAGAUAUGUUGUUACCAGGGAGGAAGCAGUUGAACACGAGGGGAGAGCAGAGGCAGCUCGCCAACAUGUCGCAGCUCAGGAGGCGGUUGCCGCUGCAUCUCAGUAUGACCCCAACUACAACUACGGAUAUCAACUAGGCGAUCCUUGGUAUUAG